rnacentral:rRNA from 1 species
GUCUGUGCGAUAGGGUUGAUGUGCAGUCUGGCCUGCCCCCUGAGAGUUUUAAAGGGCCGCGGUAUUUGGACCGUGCUAAGGUAGCAUAAUAAAUAGUCUCUUAAUUGGAGUCUGGAAUGAAUGGUCGGACAUGAAGUAAGCUGUUUUAAUUUUUAUGCUUGAAUUUUACUUUUAAGUGAAAAGGCUUAAAUUAUAUGGUGGGACGAUAAGACCCUAUAAAGCUUACGUCUUACUCUUCAGUUGUGGGAGUUCAGGUUUCCCGUUCUUAUUGAGUAGGGCGUUUCGUUGGGGCGACGGGAAUAUAAAUAAGUAACUGUUUUUAUCUGAAAAAUAUAUUUUUAUAGGUGAGUUGAUCCUUUUUAGAGAUUAUAAGAUUUAAGUUACUUUAGGGAUAACAGCGUAAUUUAUCUUGAGAGUUCAUAUCGACAGAUGUAGUUGCGACCUCGAUGUUGAAUUAAAAUGUCCCUAAGAUGUAGCAGUUUUAGCGGUAGGUCUGUUCGACCUUUAAAAUUUUACAUGAUUUGAGUUCAGACCGGCGUAAG